ACACACGGCGGGUGCUAACGUCCGUCGUGGAGAGGGAAACAACCCAGACCGCCAGCUAAGGUCCCAAAUUAUUACUAAGUGGGAAACGAUGUGGGAAGGCUCAGACAGCUAGGAUGUUGGCUUAGAAGCAGCCAUCAUUUAAAGAAAGCGUAAUAGCUCACUAGUCGAGUCGGCCUGCGCGGAAGAUGUAACGGGGCUAAGUAAUAAACCGAAGCUGCGGCAAUAUUCCUUUUGGAAUAUUGGGUAGGGGAGCGUUCUGUAAGCCGUUGAAGGUGGAUUGAGAAGUCUGCUGGAGGUAUCAGAAGUGCGAAUGCUGACAUGAGUAACGAUAAUGGGGGUGAAAAACCCCCACGCCGGAAGACCAAGGGUUCCUGUCCAACGUUAAUCGGGGCAGGGUAAGUCGACCCCUAAGGCGAGGCUGAAAAGCGUAGUCGAUGGGAAACGGGUUAAUAUUCCCGUACUUCUUACAAUUGCGAUGGGGGGACGGAGAAGGCUAGGUGGGCCUGGCGAUGGUUGUCCAGGUUCAAGUGCGUAGGCUGAGUAUUUAGGUAAAUCCGGAUACUCAUUAGGUCGAGACACGACGUCGAGCACCCAAGGGUGUGAAGUCAUUGAUGCCAUGCUUCCAGGAAAAGCCUCUAAGCUUCAGAUUGUAAGGAAUCGUACCCCAAACCGACACAGGUGGUCGGGUAGAGAAUACCAAGGCGCUUGAGAGAACUCGGGUGAAGGAACUAGGCAAAAUGGUACCGUAACUUCGGGAGAAGGUACGCUCUAUAUAGGUGAAGAGACUCGCUCUUGGAGCCGAAAAGAGUCGCAGAUACCAGGUGGCUGCAACUGUUUAUUAAAAACACAGCACUGUGCAAAAUCGUAAGAUGACGUAUACGGUGUGACGCCUG
rnacentral:ncRNA from 1 species